rnacentral:rRNA from 1 species
AGGCUUAACACAUGCAAGUCGAGGGGCAGCAUUUUAGUUUGCUUGCGAACUGAAGAUGGCGACCGGCGCACGGGUGAGUAACACGUAUCCAACCUGCCGAUAACUCCGGGAUAGCCUUUCGAAAGAAAGAUUAAUACCGGAUAGCAUACGAAUAUCGCAUGAUAUUUUUAUUAAAGAAUUUCGGUUAUCGAUGGGGAUGCGUUCCAUUAGUUUGUUGGCGGGGUAACGGCCCACCAAGACUACGAUGGAUAGGGGUUCUGAGAGGAGGGUCCCCCACAUUGGAACUGAGACACGGUCCAAACUCCUACGGGAGGCAGCAGUGAGGAAUAUUGGUCAAUGGGCGCGAGCCUGAACCAGCCAAGUAGCGUGAAGGAUGAAGGCUCUAUGGGUCGUAAACUUCUUUUAUAUGGGAAUAAAGUUUUCCACGUGUGGAAUUUUGUAUGUACCAUAUGAAUAAGGAUCGGCUAACUCCGUGCCAGCAGCCGCGGUAAUACGGAGGAUCCGAGCGUUAUCCGGAUUUAUUGGGUUUAAAGGGAGCGUAGGUGGAUUGUUAAGUCAGUUGUGAAAGUUUGCGGCUCAACCGUAAAAUUGCAGUUGAAACUGGCAGUCUUGAGUACAGUAGAGGUGGGCGGAAUUCGUGGUGUAGCGGUGAAAUGCUUAGAUAUCACGAAGAACUCCGAUUGCGAAGGCAGCUCACUAGACUGUCACUGACACUGAUGCUCGAAAGUGUGGGUAUCAAACAGGAUUAGAUACCCUGGUAGUCCACACAGUAAACGAUGAAUACUCGCUGUUUGCGAUAUACAGUAAGCGGCCAAGCGAAAGCAUUAAGUAUUCCACCUGGGGAGUACGCCGGCAACGGUGAAACUCAAAGGAAUUGACGGGGGCCCGCACAAGCGGAGGAACAUGUGGUUUAAUUCGAUGAUACGCGAGGAACCUUACCCGGGCUUAAAUUGCAACAGAAUAUAUUGGAAACAGUAUAGCCGUAAGGCUGUUGUGAAGGUGCUGCAUGGUUGUCGUCAGCUCGUGCCGUGAGGUGUCGGCUUAAGUGCCAUAACGAGCGCAACCCUUAUCUUUAGUUACUAACAGGUCAUGCUGAGGACUCUAGAGAGACUGCCGUCGUAAGAUGUGAGGAAGGUGGGGAUGACGUCAAAUCAGCACGGCCCUUACGUCCGGGGCUACACACGUGUUACAAUGGGGGGUACAGAAGGCGGCUACCUGGUGACAGGAUGCUAAUCCCAAAAACCUCUCUCAGUUCGGAUCGAAGUCUGCAACCCGACUUCGUGAAGCUGGGUUCGCUAGUAAUCGCGCAUCAGCCAUGGCGCGGUGAAUACGUUCCCGGGCCUUGUACACACCGCCCGUCAAGCCAUGAAAGCCGGGGGUACCUGAAGUACGUAACCGCAAGGAGCGUCCUAGGGUAAAACUGGUAAUUGGGGCUAAAU